rnacentral:lncRNA from 1 species
ACUAUAUUACCGCCGGUACACAUCCGCCCGACACUGAAACUUUUCCUUUUGCAUGGUAGCCACGACCGCCCACAGUGAGGCGGCUGUAGCCCGCUUCCGCCCUUACAGACACCCCAGGACGCGACCGAGACAGGAGGGCUGAUGUUCCUUUUGAAGAAGAGUUCAGAAAAAGGAUGGUAUCCUGUGAAGGAAAGCCGUGACAGAGGCCCAAGGAGAUGGAGCCAAGGCCUGUCAAGGAAGAAAAGGACUUUUCCCACCAAGAGUUGGAGAAAGAAGACACCAGGACUACUUCUUCCUCUUCCCAGUGGGUGGCAGCACGGAUCUCUAAGAGCUGGCCAGGUGCUCCACCUGGAUGGUGCUGGUGGUGACAGUGAGGCAGAUGUCCUUAUGAUGCUCCGCCGUCUUAUACGGGGUCAGGUCAAAGGAACACUGGGGUGGAGGGUUGGGAUUGCUGUCCCCACCACCCCCACCCUGGGGGGCUGCCCCAGGAGACUGGAAGUGUGGUGGUGGCUGUUGCUGCUGCUGCUGCUGCUGCUGCUGCUGCUGCUGCUGCUGCUGUGAUGCCUGGGCCACUGCUGCCGCUGCUGCUGCUGCCUGCACCUGUUGCUGAAGAUCAGGCGGGUUGUGUUUGCGCAUAUGUUUCAUAAGGGCCCUCUGCUAAGAUGAGCCAAGGACUUGAGGGUGCAGUGACACCUGCUCCUCAUCAGCGACUUCAGAACCAUCUCUAUGACCAGGUGCUUUUCGGGACCUCUGGUAUAAAAUCUCAAAAACAUCACAGGACGUGUCUCUUAUUUGUGAGGAAAGCCUGACUCCUCCUCUUCUCAAAGCAAGAUGUCUGAUCACUUUAAGGUGAGAUCAUCACAUCCACAAGAAGCCGGGUGAGACGGUCUAUGGCCUGUAAGUCUGGACUCCAGUUCAACUUGAGAUAGCACCAAAGAUCAUCACUUCUAGUUGGCAGGUUCCCUUCUUCCUAGUCACUCCAGAUUCACGGGAUAAACACUGGGCAUCUUUAUGAAGCAUAAGCGUUUUCAUUUUCUGUUUGCUGAUUCUCUCUGAACAUUUAGUACGUGUUUUCUUUUGUUCUCUACUCCUGGCAUCCCUCAGAGCCUUGCUUGUUGCUGUGGGUGUCACCAGGCUGGUGCCCAGCUAAUGUCUGAUUUUAUUUCCUGUUCAUAAUUGGUGCCCUAAGGGCUAGAGGUAUGGUCUUCUCCACUCAAAUGCCUCUGUUUUGGCAUCAAGGGGCAAAUCUUCCAAGAUGGGUACAUGAGUAUUUUCAGGGAGGAAAAUUAGAG